CAAUAAUCCAGGCUGCAAGCUUAUCCCAUUCUUCACGAUUCCGUCCAUAGAUAGAAAUACGAUAUUCAGCCAUUUGGUACUUUUGAGUUCUAAGGUCGGUGAACACCUCUUUGGUAAGUUCAGCAAGAUAUCGACCGUUAAUAUCAUUAUCGGUUUUCAGGAAAAUAGUACGCAAACGAGAUUCACCAAUUGGAUUAUAUUUCAAGUUAAAUUUGUCAAAUCGGUGAAAGGUGUCAGUAUGAGCAUGCAUAUCCAACGUGUCUAUACUAAGGUCAUACGAAGUCAACUUCAACGAAUCAAAUACUUCUUGUAAAGUCAGGAAUUUGCCAUCACGCCAGAUAACUUUUUCAUUAGGGCAUUUACGAAGUUUAGCUUUGAUAAAUCGCAAGAGAUGUUUUUGAUUCGCAAGAGCAGAAUGAUGGACGUGAGUAUCUACCUUACGUACAUUGUAAAAAUCACGAUGGGGUACUUUUUUGGUAUCUGCCAGCUCUUGAUACUCGUUUAGCAGCAUAUACAUAUUCCAGCGUCCUUCUAGAUACUGCAAUCUACGGAAGGAAAAUGAUUUACUAGGACCAUCCGAUGAAGCCGAAAGAAGGAAUUCUAAAUCUAUAUAAUAAUCGCGGAUAGUAGGAAUAUGAAAAGACGGUGUCCCCGCAAUGUAUGCGCUGUCAUUCUCAUAAACUUGAAAUAUACCUUGAUGAUCCAUGUGAUAUUCCAUUUCAUUUUCAAUUCCAGGAAUUUUGCAAUCAGCAAAAUUAAACAAGCCCGUAUCAUCUUCACCUUCUUUGCAAUCAGGGUAUAUAAUCCAUGAAUCAUCGUCAAUGGGAUUGUCAAGCUCACCCUGUAAGCUCACCCUAAUAUAUUUGUGUCGCAUGUCCAUACAUUUAUGGAUUGACAAAUAAAUUUCUGCCAAUUCAUCAGAGAAAAGAGGGUCAGUCGUUUCCAUGUUUCCUGGAUCGGUUUCAGGGCCACCAACACUAGAAACUACAGCAUUGUCUCCCUGCUGCACAUGGGGCAUAUGAAUGCUACUUAUUUUGCUUUGAAGCGUAUCAUUCAAAAGCUUUCCACUUCCAGGACCAGCUUUACUAUGGUUUACAUCAUCACUAUUCCUUACUGUGCUAGCCGAGACUGAUGGUCGUCUUGGGCUUUUAGAGGGCAGUCCAUCCCGACCGUUUUGUGUUCCAUUCAUAGCCAGAAAUUUAGCAUCUUGCUAGGUUAUGGUUAGUUAAACACGUAAUAUAUCGAAUUGGGGGGUUUUCACUUAAAUACUUACAUGUCUUAAAGAGCGCUCAUAAGCAUAAUCAAAAUAAGGAGUGUCUUGAGACGAAGGCGCUGCUGCAACUUCUUCGUCUCGAUUAGCACCAGGAUUCGUUACAUAUCGUUUUAAAGGAACAGUUUCAGCUGCAACAGCUGGGACUUGAUCAUCUUCUUGUUCCAUGUUCAUUUCAGCUCUAAAAAUUAGAAUAAAAAAGAAUCCCAAAAAUUGGCCUCUUCAAGAAGAAUGCGACGAAAACAACACCUUUUUGAGAGGAGCGCGUGCACUUGCGGGUGAAGAGCCGUUUAUAUACGGAAGUAAACCACAUAGUGAGAGAGGACGUACAGACAUUAUGUUGUUUAACGAAAUAGAGCGAUGAUUUAUUGAGGCAAACAAAAUUAAGGGCAAUUGAAAUGUUUAGAAUUCUGGCCAAACUGAAUUUGUUUAAAUCGAAUGAUUUUUAAUAUUUUCAUUC